UUUAUCUGCAUCAAUACCCCGUGCUACCAGAAUGGCUGUCUCAGUACUUCGCCUGACAGUUGUCCUGGGACUGCUUGUCUUAAUCCUGACCUGCUAUGCAGACGACAAACCAGACAAGACAGAUGACAAGCCAGACGACUCGGGCAAAGACCCAAAGCCAGACUUCCCCAAAUUCCUAAGCCUCCUGGGCACAGAGAUCAUUGAGAAUGCAGUCGAGUUCAUCCUCCGCUCCAUGUCCAGGAGCACAGGAUUUAUGGAAUUUGAUGAUAGUGAAGGAAAACAUUCAUCAAAGUGACCUCCUCAGCUUCUGGUACACACCUAUAAUUUUUGGUACCCACACCCCAAAUCCUUGGAGUACAUCCUACAGGUCUGGUCUAUGAUGUAGUCUAAUAGCCAAGGCCACAUGGAGGAGCAGAAAGAGCAGAAGACAUAGACAAGAUGACACACCCAUGUGGCUCCUGGACAAUCCAAAAGCAGCCAAAUCCUGCUUUUCCAGUUCUGCUUCACAAGUCCUCCAGGACAGAGCCCUCAAAGCAACUCCCAGUGAGUUCUCAGGAUUCAGCUCUGGCUUCAGCCAAACAGAACUCAUUUUGAACACCCCGACUGCAUUUUUGCUUUUAGAAAGUUAGAAUAAAUAUGGCGCUUUGGGAUCACAUAGUUGAUGGGGAAGAUUUGUGUUGCUAUUAGUAAUUUUUUCUGGCCAUGCUUAAAGUUUUAAUGAUGCAAAUAUAUAUAUCUCUUGGUGAAUAUUUAUAUAUUCAACAGGAUAACCAAAGAAUGGUUCAAAAUAAGAGGACUAAAGCCCAGAUAAUGUAGCAAGUUCAAAUUCACAGAGCCAAUAAGUGACAGAAACAGGAUUAAAAUCUGACCUCAAAACAAGCUCUCAACUCCUAAAAAUGUAUGCAGUUUCAGAGUUAAAACUUUUACACAUCUUUUUUGGAAAGUAUUUUAAAACUAUCUGAGCCCACUCUCCUACGCUAGUAAACUUAAAAACUGACCUUUUUAAAAUUAAAGAGUCACUAUUUUUCUCAUAGAAUAGCAGUGUCAGAGAUGGAAGGGUCAUUGAAAUGUUUAGUUUCAGCCCUUUCAUGCCAUCACCUUAUUACAGUGGAUCCUCUGCAGCCAUGGCUGUGGUUCUUGCCCACUUACCAGAAGUAAAAUGUGACAUAGCAGAGCUAGAAAUACAGUAAUCUCCCAGAAUUGUUUAAUGCGGACAGUAAGACAAGACUGAAAUCUUAUCGUAGAGCAAGAUGCCAGUUAAAGCAGUGCUCUAAUCUAGAAUAAAGUUUCUACGUGCUGCUUCUACUGAGUUCUCAAAAGCUAUCUUGGGUUUUGUCCUUCCCAAACACAUAAACUCUGAAAGUAACUCAAAUGUAUGUUUAAUAAAUCUUUUGUUUGUU